rfam:Daphnia magna strain Xinb3 contig31621, whole genome shotgun sequence.
UCUCCAGUGGCGUAGUUGGUUAGCGCAUGGUACUUAUACGACAGUAACUACUUGUGCUGAGUUUAAUUGUAACGAUUGCAAGUAAUGCCGAGGUCGCGAGUUCGAACCUCGCCUGGAGAA